rnacentral:rRNA from 1 species
AGAGUUUGAUCAUGGCUCAGAUUGAACGCUGGCGGCAGGCUUAACACAUGCAAGUCGAGCGGGGGAAGGUAGCUUGCUACUGGACCUAGCGGCGGACGGGUGAGUAAUGCUUAGGAAUCUGCCUAUUAGUGGGGGACAACAUCUCGAAAGGGAUGCUAAUACCGCAUACGUCCUACGGGAGAAAGCAGGGGAUCUUCGGACCUUGCGCUAAUAGAUGAGCCUAAGUCGGAUUAGCUAGUUGGUGGGGUAAAGGCCUACCAAGGCGACGAUCUGUAGCGGGUCUGAGAGGAUGAUCCGCCACACUGGGACUGAGACACGGCCCAGACUCCUACGGGAGGCAGCAGUGGGGAAUAUUGGACAAUGGGGGGAACCCUGAUCCAGCCAUGCCGCGUGUGUGAAGAAGGCCUUAUGGUUGUAAAGCACUUUAAGCGAGGAGGAGGCUACUUUAGUUAAUACCUAGAGAUAGUGGACGUUACUCGCAGAAUAAGCACCGGCUAACUCUGUGCCAGCAGCCGCGGUAAUACAGAGGGUGCGAGCGUUAAUCGGAUUUACUGGGCGUAAAGCGUGCGUAGGCGGCUUAUUAAGUCGGAUGUGAAAUCCCCGAGCUUAACUUGGGAAUUGCAUUCGAUACUGGUGAGCUAGAGUAUGGGAGAGGAUGGUAGAAUUCCAGGUGUAGCGGUGAAAUGCGUAGAGAUCUGGAGGAAUACCGAUGGCGAAGGCAGCCAUCUGGCCUAAUACUGACGCUGAGGUACGAAAGCAUGGGGAGCAAACAGGAUUAGAUACCCUGGUAGUCCAUGCCGUAAACGAUGUCU